CGGCUUCCUACGGGAGGCAGCAGUCGAGAAUCUUUCGCAAUGGGCGAAAGCCUGACGAAGCGACGCCGUGUGAAUGAAGAAGGCCUUCGGGUCGUAAAGUUCUUUCGCCUGGGAACAAGAGAAGCUGGCUAAUAUCUAGCUAAUUAGAGGGUACCAGGUAAAGAAGCACCGGCUAACUCCGUGCCAGCAGCUGCGGUAAUACGGAGGGUGCAAGCGUUAAUCGGAUUUAUUGGGCGUAAAGAGCGCGUAGGCGGGAAUGCAAGCCAGACGUGAAAUCCCGGGGCUCAACCCCGGAACGGCGUUUGGAACUGCAUUUCUAGAGGGUAGGCGGAGAAAAUGGAAUUCCACGUGUAGCGGUGAAAUGCGUAGAUAUGUGGAAGAACACC
rnacentral:rRNA from 1 species